UGGGAAGGGUAGAGACUGGCCACAUGA
rnacentral:piRNA from 1 species